GACGAACGCUGGCGGCGUGCUUAACACAUGCAAGUCGAACGGAAAGGCCCUGCUUUUGUGGGGUGCUCGAGUGGCGAACGGGUGAGUAACACGUGAGUAACCUGCCCUUGACUUUGGGAUAACUUCAGGAAACUGGGGCUAAUACCGGAUAGGAGCUCCUGCUGCAUGGUGGGGGUUGGAAAGUUUCGGCGGUUGGGGAUGGACUCGCGGCUUAUCAGCUUGUUGGUGGGGUAGUGGCUUACCAAGGCUUUGACGGGUAGCCGGCCUGAGAGGGUGACCGGCCACAUUGGGAGGGAGAUACGGCCCACACUCAUGCGGGGGGGAGGGGGGGGAAAUUUUGAACAAUGGGCGGAAGCCUGAUGCAGAAACGCCGGGUGGGGGAUGGCGGCCUUCGGGUUGGAACCCGCUUUCGCGUGGGACGGAGGGGGAGGGACGGAAAUGGGUAAAAAAGCACCGGCUAACUACGU
rnacentral:rRNA from 1 species